rnacentral:lncRNA from 1 species
GAGGCCAAGUAGGGAUCUGUGUGGUCACUGUUCUCUUGCCAGGACAGUAAGAUUCCUUUAUAAAGCAUUGGUAUAAGUUCUUGCUUGGGGGCUGCAAACAGCGUAACAUCGGGAAGGGGGAGGGCCGGGUGGUAAGCCAGAG